AUUGAACGCUGGCGGCAGGCCUAACACAUGCAAGUCGAGCGGAGCGGCGGACGGGUGAGUACUGCCUAGGAAUCUGCCUGGUAGUUGGGGAUAACGUCCGGAAACGUGCGCUAAUACCGCAUACUAUCAGAUGAGCCUAGGUCGGCUUAGCUAGGUGGUGGGGUAAAGGCCUACCAACGUGACGAUCCGUAACUGGUCGGCUAGGAUGAUCAGUCACACUGGAACUGAGACACGUUCCAGACUCCUACGGGAGGCAGCAGUGGGGAAUAUUGGACAAUGGACGAAAGCCUGAUCCAGCCAUGCCGCGUGUGUGAAGAAGGUCUUCGGAUUGUAAAGCACGUUAAGUUGGGAGGCGUUACCAACAGAAUAAGCACCGGCUAACUUCGUGCCAGCAGCCGCGGUAAUAC
rnacentral:rRNA from 1 species